rnacentral:rRNA from 1 species
GAUGAACGCUAGCUACAGGCUUAACACAUGCAAGUCGCGGGGCAGCAUGGGGGUUGCUUGCAAUCCCCGAUGGCGACCGGCGCACGGGUGAGUAACGCGUAUCCAACCUGCCCUUCACCACGGGAUAACCCGGCGAAAGUCGGACUAAUACCGUAUGUUGUCCAUUGACGGCAUCCGAUUUGGACGAAAGGCUUGGCGGUGAGGGAUGGGGAUGCGUCCGAUUAGCCAGACGGCGGGGUAACGGCCCACCGUGGCUACGAUCGGUAGGGGUUCUGAGAGGAAGGUCCCCCACACUGGAACUGAGACACGGUCCAGACUCCUACGGGAGGCAGCAGUGAGGAACAUUGGUCAAUGGGCGUAAGCCUGAACCAGCCAAGUAGCGUGCAGGAUGACGGCCCUAUGGGUUGUAAACUGCUUUUAUGCGGGGAUAAAGUGGCCCACGUGUGGGCUUUUGCAGGUACCGCAUGAAUAAGGACCGGCUAAUUCCGUG